GACGAACGCUGGCGGCGUGCUUAACACAUGCAAGUUGAACGGAGUAUGUUGGAAGGGUAACCGGAAGACAUAUUUAGUGGCGAACGGGUGAGUAAUGCAUGAGAACGUAUCCUCAAGAGGGGGACAACAUUGGGAAACCGAUGCUAAUACCCCAUAAGCCGGGAGGUAAAAGGAGCAAUCCGCUUGAGGAGCGGUUCAUGUCCUAUCAGCUAGUUGGUGAGGUAACGGCUCACCAAGGCGAAGACGGGUAGCCGGCCUGAGAGGGUGAACGGCCACACUGGAACUGAGAGACGGUCCAGACUCCUACGGGAGGCAGCAGUGGGGAAUAUUGGACAAUGGGCGAAAGCCUGAUCCAGCAACGCCGCGUGAGGGAUGACGGCCUUCGGGUUGUAAACCUCUUUCAGUAGGGACGAAGCGAAAGUGACGGUACCUACAGAAGAAGGACCGGCCAACUACGUG
rnacentral:rRNA from 1 species